UAACGUAGACGUAAAGUUACGCUAAUACCGCAUAUUCUGUGAGCAGGAAAGCAGGGGAUCGCAAGACCUUGCGCUGAUUGAGCGGCCGAUAUCAGAUUAGCUAGUUGGUGAGGUAAAGGCUCACCAAGGCGACGAUCUGUAGCGGGUCUGAGAGGAUGAUCCGCCACACUGGAACUGAGACACGGUCCAGACUCCUACGGGAGGCAGCAGUGGGGAAUUUUGGACAAUGGGCGCAAGCCUGAUCCAGCCAUGCCGCGUGAGUGAAGAAGGCCUUCGGGUUGUAAAGCUCUUUCGGCCGGGAAGAAAUCGCACAGGUUAAUACCCUGUGUGGAUGACGGUACCGGAAUAAGAAGCACCGGCUAACUACGUG
rnacentral:rRNA from 1 species